CCUUGAUGUUUCAGCCUUGAGAGAGAGCCGCAAGGCAAAGAAUUCUUGCUGCUGGAGUUGCUGAACAACUUGGGACAGCAACUAAUCAAGCUGAGAGCAAGAAGUUGAUAUUGUUGGUGCUGCUGGUGCUGUCGAAAUGCAGGGGUGACCUAAUUGAUGCUGUAAGCAGGUCAAAUUCAGCAUCUAGUGAAGAUUGAGAUUUGGGACUUUGAGUAGUUGAUGCUGAAUGAAACUUGGAGAAAGCCCAAAUUAAGGCUUAUUGGAGCUACCCGAAGUGAGAAGUAUGGCUGAAGUUGAUCCUUGAGUGAGUUUCUUAAUGUUCCAAGUUGACAAAAAGGCUGCAGAAUUGAUAGUAGCUCAGCUGAACUUGAGGGCGACGACACGCUACUUACGGUAGAGACCGUUCUAGUUCGAUUUGCACUGAGUUGCAAGAAAUAGUUGUCAACGCAUUCCGAGACAUUGAUCUUAGCUCAUUGACACCACUACAGGUGGGUGGUGCUAUCCGAAAUCUUUGAAUCACCUUUUAUGUCUAUGAUAAUUCAUUGAGCAUAUUUAUAUUUGUAGUCAUGCAUUAUAGGGUAUUGGCAUUGUGCAAGUGAAAGUAUGAAUCCCUAUCGACAGUGAGAACAUGUGAACAUUAGAAUGUGAACAUAGAACUCUAUGAAUGUAUGGACUAUAACAAUAGUGAACUUGGUGACAUUCUAACUAGAGAUUUGGUUAGCAUAGAGAAAUGAAAUUGCAACUAGCAUAAAGAGCUAGUUAAAGUUAAAGUGUGACAUUGUCUGUGGUUGAAUCCUCUAAAGGAGGAUCAGAUCAUACUCACCUAGUCUGUUUUGAGCUUGGUGGUGGUCGCUCCACCCAAACAGUGCACUCCGGAGGUUGUCACGUGAUGGGCUAAAGUAUUUGCCCAUGGACUAAAGUAUUUUCCUAUGGACUAAAGUAUCUGUCCAGCAGACGAUCCCGAACUAAUCCAGUAGAAAGAUAAUACAUAUCAACAACGGAUAGAUUUGAAACAUAACUAUCUAGUAUCGUCCUCACGCACCGUCCCGACCCUCACCGCUAAUGUUAACCUAAAAAAAUAGUCAGCGGUGAGAACAUGUAAACACGUCUCCCCUCUCAAUGGGUACCGCAAGUCGACGAAGACAAGCUGUAUUCACCGGCAGACGGAAGAGACAACCAACAGUAGUAAACAAGUGAAUCAGGUACAAUAGCAAUGGAAUAACAACUGGUAAUAAACGCAACAAUAACUGCUACUAUAAGAUAGAGUAGACAAAUAGACAUAACAAGUAGGAGCAUCGAAAUAGUAGCAAUAAUGACCAGAAAGAAACUACAACUACUAAUCAAGACAUAACUAUAAGCUAUUGUAAAGAAUAAUAGAGUACACCAAUGCAUCAAAUGGAUCAAUAAUGCCAACA